UCAAGAUUAAAAGACACUUAAUGUAAAACAAGAUGGAUGUAAACACGUUUUUAUACGUCAUGGGGGGGGGGUCCAUGUGUUUCUGUUCAGGCAACAACAAGACAGCUUCGGGUCUGGGCUCCACACUUCAGCUGCAGCGGUUCCCCGGUCAGGAACACUUUGAGUCGCCAUGUUUCCUCGACACGUUGACAGAAAACACGAGUCGGACUCCGUGACGUCAUCACAUUAGUAGUGUAGACACGGAGGUUUCAGACGCGUCGGAGGAGCGUGCGGCCGGCCGAGGAAGAGGGGCAGCAACGCAAAGUCGACGAAAACAACGAUAUUUUCAGCGUCUCUCAUGAAAAGCUGUGAGCAGUUCACACAGCGGCCAGCAGGGGGCCGACCGCCGGCUGAGGAGCCCGAUGGAGCCAAUCACACGUCUCCCUCGGGAAGAUCAAACCUCCAGCUGAUUGGAGAGCAGAACGUUCUUCAGGUGAUGAAGACGAGCUCAUUGACCAGAAACAGACGAAGACAAUAAAUAUUACACAUGAAUGCAA